CCUACGGGGGGCAGCAGUGAGGAAUAUUGGUCAAUGGACGCAAGUCUGAACCAGCCAUGCCGCGUGCAGGAAGAAGGCUCUAUGAGUUGUAAACUGCUUUUGUACGAGGGUAAACGCAGAUACGCGUAUCUGUCUGAAAGUAUCGUACGAAUAAGGAUCGGCUAACUCCGUGCCAGCAGCCGCGGUAAUACGGAGGAUUCAAGCGUUCUACGGAUUUAUUGGGUUGAAAGGGUGCGUAGGCGGUCGGUUAAGUUAGAGGUGAAAUCCCGAGGCUCAACUUCGGAAUUGCCUCUGAUACUGUUCGGCUAGAGUGUAGUUGCGGUAGGCGGCAUGUAUGGUGUAGCGGUGAAAUGCUUAGAGAUCAUACAGAACACCGAUUGCGAAGGCAGCUUACCAAGCUACUUCUGACGUUGAGGCACGAAAGCGUGGGUAGCAAACAGGAUUAGAUACCCCAGUAGUC
rnacentral:rRNA from 1 species